GCGCCUAUAGCUCAGUGGAUCAGAGCACCGGCCUCCGGAGCCGGGUGCGCAGGUUCGAAUCCUGCUAGGCGCGCCA
rnacentral:tRNA from 1 species